UACAGAGGGUGCAAGCGUUAAUCGGAAUUACUGGGCGUAAAGCGCGCGUAGGCGGCUUGACAAGUCGAGUGUGAAAUCCCCGGGCUCAACCUGGGAAUUGCAUUUGAGACUGCGUAGCUAGGGUGCGGAAGAGGGAAGCGGAAUUUCCGGUGUAGCGGUGAAAUGCGUAGAGAUCGGCAGGAACACCCAGGGGGAAACCAGCCGACUGGGGAUGUGCUGACGCUGAGGUGCGAGAGCGUGGGGAGCGAACCGG
rnacentral:rRNA from 1 species